UACGAAGGGGGCUAGCGUUGUUCGGAAUACUGGGCGUAAAGCGCACGUAGGCGGGUUGUUAAGUCAGGGGUGAAAUCCUGGAGCUCAACUCCGGAACUGCCUUUGAUACUGGCAACCUAGAGACUGGAAGAGGUUAGUGGAAUUCCCAGUGUAGAGGUGAAAUUCGUAGAUAUUGGGAAGAACACCAGUGGCGAAGGCGGCUAACUGGUCCAGCACUGACGCUGAGGAGCGAAAAGCCAGGGGAGCAAACGGGGUUAG
rnacentral:rRNA from 1 species